GCGCUCGCCCCUCUGUGUCUGUGCGUAGCGUCCGCUGUUUGAAGCCCGGAAAUGAGACGUAACCGGCCCCCCGAGUCCCAGUCCAGGAGACGGCGGCCGCAACCCCCGUCGGCGUGCGUGGUACGACUGUGACGUCAAGGGCCGUCCCAUAGACGGCGCAGUGUGCUGCUGUGGCGGUGCAGGAUGGCAGGGACGUGCAGUCUCCGGCUUGGGUGCGUCACACGGAGCAGCUACCCAUGCCAGCCAACUGUUCGACAGAGUGCCAGAGCCAAGGAAUACGCCAGGUUGGCAGGAGAGUCAACGGCCAGCGGCAAGCUGUGCAUGUGCAGCCGCCCCUUUCGGCCGGGCCGGCCAUGGCCCUGCCGUGCCCUCCCGUGAACAUAUGGCACGGCUCCAAAAGCUAGGCGCUUAUUAUACGGUACAAAGGGCUGGGGAGAAUUCUACUCGUACUCUGCAUUUUGGUCUAUUAUAAAUUAGGCUCGAGUUGAUGGCUGAUAAAAUCUGUGGAUGAAGCACUGCGCUCUGUUGUUGGUGAGAGCUGGGUCUGGGUCAUCGGUUUAAUGUUAUCUGGCUCGGUGUCUACCCUAAGAAAAUACAGACGUACGAGACCAUAUGCAGUUUAAUUUUGGAACUCGGCGAGUCGUUUGGAGGAUUUAAUGGAGCCUAUCAUCAUUCCUUUAAGCGUUAUGGAACUUUAAGACGUACGUGUUGUCGUCUCGUAUUUCACCGGCCUGCCAUCAUAUAUUAGUAUUAUGCAUAUGAUACUAUAUCUGUAUGUUAGUAUUAUGGAAUUA